rnacentral:rRNA from 1 species
GACGAACGCGGCGGCGUGCUUAACACAUGCAAGUCGAACGAAGAGCGAUGGAAGCUUGCUUUUAUCAAUCUUAGUGGCGAACGGGUGAGUAACGCGUAAUCAACCUGCCCUUCAGAGGGGGACAACAGUUGGAAACGACUGCUAAUACCGCAUACGAUCUAACCUUGGCAUCGAGGAUGGAUGAAAGGUGGCCUCUAUUUAUAAGCUAUCACUGAAGGAGGGGAUUGCGUCUGAUUAGCUAGUUGGAGGGGUAACGGCCCACCAAGGCGAUGAUCAGUAGCCGGUCUGAGAGGAUGAACGGCCACAUUGGGACUGAGACACGGCCCAGGCUCCUACGGGAGGCAGCAGUGGGGAAUCUUCCGCAAUGGACGAAAGUCUGACGGAGCAACGCCGCGUGAGUGAUGACGGCCUUCGGGUUGUAAAGCUCUGUUAAUCGGGACGAAAGGCCUUC